UCCAGGGUAGCCUAGUGGAAAUGGCAUCUGCCUGGUACGCGGAACAGUGUGGGUUCGCAGCUUCACAUCCAAAGAG